rnacentral:rRNA from 1 species
GGGGAAUAUUGGACAAUGGGCGCAAGCCUGAUCCAGCAAUGCCGCGUGAGUGAAGAAGGCCUUAGGGUUGUAAAGCUCUUUCAAUAGGGAAGAUAAUGACGGUACCUAUAAAAGAAGUUCCGGCUAACUCCGUGCCAGCAGCCGCGGUAAUACGGAGGGAACUAGCGUUGUUCGGAAUUACUGGGCGUAAAGAGCGCGUAGGCGGUCUGUUAAGUUGGAAGUGAAAGCCCGGGGCUCAACCUCGGAAUUGCUUUCAAAACUGAUGGACUAGAGGCUGAUAGGGGAUGGCGGAAUUCCUGGUGUAGAGGUGAAAUUCUUAGAUAUCAGGAGGAACACCGGUGGCGAAGGCGGCCAUCUGGGUCAGAACUGACGCUGAGGCGCGAAAGCGUGGGGAGCAAAC